rnacentral:rRNA from 1 species
UGCCAGCAGCCGCGGUAACACGUAUGGGGCGAGCGUUGUUCGGAAUCAUUGGGCGUAAAGCGCGCGUAGGCGGUUUCGUAGGUCAGAUGUGAAAGUCCACGGCUCAACCGUGGAAGUGCAUUUGAAACUGGAUGGCUUGAGUACUGGAGGGGGUGGUGGAAUUCCCGGUGUAGAGGUGAAAUUCGUAGAUAUCGGGAGGAAUACCGGUGGCGAAGGCGACCACCUGGCCAGAUACUGACGCUGAGGUGCGAAAGCGUGGGGAGCAAACAGGAUUAGAUA